rnacentral:rRNA from 1 species
GAUGAACGCUGGCGGCGUGCCUAAUACAUGCAAGUCGAGCGAACAGACGAGGAGCUUGCUCCUCUGACGUUAGCGGCGGACGGGUGAGUAACACGUGGAUAACCUACCUAUAAGACUGGGAUAACUUCGGGAAACCGGAGCUAAUACCGGAUAACAUGUUGAACCGCAUGGUUCAACAGUGAAAGACGGUCUUGCUGUCACUUAUAGAUGGAUCCGCGCCGCAUUAGCUAGUUGGUAAGGUAACGGCUUACCAAGGCAACGAUGCGUAGCCGACCUGAGAGGGUGAUCGGCCACACUGGAACUGAGACACGGUCCAGACUCCUACGGGAGGCAGCAGUAGGGAAUCUUCCGCAAUGGGCGAAAGCCUGACGGAGCAACGCCGCGUGAGUGAAGAAGGUCUUCGGAUCGUAAAACUCUGUUAUUAGGGAAGAACAAAUGUGUAAGUAACUAUGCACGUCUUGAGGGUACCUAAUCAGAAAGCCACGGCUAACUACGUG